AGGAAAUGCAGAAAGAGGAGGGUCCGCAGUAGAGCACAGCACACAUUUAUAUGGCCAUCUAAAUGAACAGAGCUGAAAGACUCAUAAGCAAUGCCUCUUUCACUGAACGUGCCACUGACAGGAGAUGCUGGGCCAUGAAGAAAGCUUGGAACUGGCAGUGCUGCGCUGCUCUGCCCUUGUAAUUCCCUUGUGCCAUGUUCCAGGAGCUGGGGAGGUGCUCAGCAACAAACACCACCGUACUGCUUAGUGGAGGAGCAAUCUCUUCUUUCAUGAAAAGCUGGGUUUUUAGCCCUGACCACACUCAAAGGAAAAAAUAAGACUAUAGGAAGGGGUGAUCUUCAGUGACAGCAAAUUUUACAUUGCCGUUGAUUCAUAGGAAUCCAUUACUGCUUCCUGGAGCAUGAUAAAUGGAUAUCAGCAUGGACUAGAAUCACAGAAUCACAGAAUAUCCUGAAUUGGAAGGGACCCACAAGGAUCAUC